rnacentral:rRNA from 1 species
GAUGAACGCUGGCGGCGUGCCUAAUACAUGCAAGUCGAGCGAACAGACGAGGAGCUUGCUCCUCUGACGUUAGCGGCGGACGGGUGAGUAACACGUGGAUAACCUACCUAUAAGACUGGGAUAACUUCGGGAAACCGGAGCUAAUACCGGAUAAUAUAUUGAACCGCAUGGUUCAAUAGUGAAAGACGGUUUUGCUGUCACUUAUAGAUGGAUCCGCGCCGCAUUAGCUAGUUGGUAAGGUAACGGCUUACCAAGGCAACGAUGCGUAGCCGACCUGAGAGGGGGAUCGGCCACACUGGAACUGGGACACGGUCCAGACUCCUACGGGAGGCAGCAGUAGGGAAUCUUCCGCAAUGGGGGAAGGCCUGACGGAGCAACGCCGCGUGAGUGAUGAAGGUCUUCGGAUCGUAAAACUCUGUUAUUAGGGAAGAACAAAUGUGUAAGUAACUAUGCACGUCUUGACGGUACCUAAUCAGAAAGCCACGGCUAACUACGU